UAACAGUCCCCAGGAUCUUGCCUGUGUCCUAACAGCCUUGGCUUAAGAGCUUUUCUCUGCCUCUGCUCUUGCCUUGACUGGGAUACUGACACAGAACUAAUCUGCGCUUUGCCCCAAGGCUGCGUCCAAUUCGAUCAGUGCAUUUACAGUGAGGCAUUAUUACCUCUGCCUCUCAGGGGAUGCCUGGUAGAUGUCUGCUGAGAUCAAGCUUUGCUCAUUCCUCUGGCCCUCCUGGUAUCUACAUUUCUGAGUAGUGCAUCUGUUUAGAAUGUAGAAGAGAAUUUGACUCAUGCAAUUUAACAGGCACAUGAGUCUCUGAUGUUAGUCGAUCUGGGAUCAUUGGCUACAGUCUGAAAAGUGAGCAAAAUGGUUCUCUCCUCUUCUCUGUCUGCAUUCAGUAACGCUAGCUGGUCUUCCGUAUACUGAAGGACACAAGAAGGAGCCAACAGACGUCAACAUCUGAUUUAGAGGAUGUCUCCCCAGCAUGGCUUGAUGAGUGGUGUAGGUCCGUGCCUGGCGUCCGAACCCAUGAACCCCCCAAGGGGGCCACCGAUGUGGAGCACACCAAACGCAACCAUGCCGAACCCAACCACUACACCACCUGGCUGGCCCCUGUAAAUGUAAUUUUUGUUCCCUUGCCUAAACCACAGAAGGAGAAUUUUUCUCAUCUUCUGCCCUGACCUCAAUCUUUCUCAUGAACACUCCAGGAAGGUCCAUGGAGAAGAAUCUACUAGUGAGCCUUGUAUCUGGAUCUCCCAGGCCCUAUACUUUCAUGCCAGCCUACACUUGGC
rnacentral:lncRNA from 1 species